rnacentral:rRNA from 1 species
CCUACGGGAGGCAGCAGUGGGGAAUAUUGCGCAAUGGGCGCAAGCCUGAUCCAGCAACGCCGCGUGAAGGAGGAAGGAUUUCGGUAUGUAAAGUUCUAUUCUCAGGGACGAAGAAGGUGACGGUACCUUAAGAAUCAGCCACGGCUAACUACGUGCCAGCCGCCGCGGUAAUAAGUAGGUGGCAAGCGUUAUCCGGAUUUAUUGGGAGUAAGGGGGGGGUAGGCGGGAGGGCAAGUCAGAUGUGAAACCUCAGGGCUCAACCCGGAGACUGCAUUGGAAACUGGGAUUCUUGAGUGCUGGAGAGGCAAUCGGAAUUCCGAGUGUAGCGGUGAAAUGCGUAGAUAUAAGGAGGAACACCAGUGGCGAAGGCGGAUUGCUGGACAGUAACUGACGCUGAGGCGCGAAAGCGUGGGGAGCAAACAGGAUUAGAUACCCCGGUAGUC